rnacentral:lncRNA from 1 species
CCCCAGAGGAUUGCUUGCAUUUCAGCAUUUGGGAAUCCAUGAUCUAGGGCCCCUGGACAGGGAAAGUAGGAAUGGCUGGAAGAAGCCGAUGGGAACCUCGAUUGCCAGUCUCCCCCCAUAUAACAGCCCUUCUGCGGGCACUCAGAGAGCAGAGCAACCUGCAAGAUCACUUGCUGGAGCUGAAUUAUGAUUAAGAGAGAGAGAAUGGCACUUCUUUUUAAGAAAUUCCUCCUUAGGAACUUCUUAAAGUAAAAGGAAAUCAAAGAGCUCUUUGGAAUGGGACUGCCUCUUCACAGACCUGCUUGCAAAUACAGAGCUGAGCACUCCACCCUGCAGCCAGGGAAACUGCCGGUGACACUCAGUCGGCAAGUCAGUGAGAAACAGCCAAGUCCCCUCCCAAGCACAAGGCCGGACUGGCAGACUACAGAGAUGCGUAGGAGGCCGGACAGGAAGAUUCUUCACCUCUACCAAAAAAAAAAGAAAUGGUCACUCCUAGUUUUCUUGAAAGAAGCUACCCUUCUCCUGACUAUAAUUUAGUUUCUUGCUUUAGAGACACGAAUAUGGAUAUUCUUCUAUUAUAAAAUAUAAUAAUAAUAAUAGUGUCAAUGUAGAGGUAAAGAGUCAUGAGCCUGUGCCUCAGUGUUGAGGAAGGGGGUGAGUUGGGGCCCGGGGCAAGCAGCAGAAGUGCCUGGGAAAGGAGAACUGCUCCUCCCAGGCUCCAGGUGACUCCUGGCACACAUAAACGAGGAAUGGGUUUUGCCAGAUCUUCCCAAUUUGCAAAAGAAGCUAAGUAUUCAGAUUUGCAAGUGAACACUCCCAACAUUUAAUUAUUAGAUCUAUCUUCACUUUUAAACACUAUCAAUAAAAUUGGUG